rnacentral:rRNA from 1 species
AGUGAACGCUGGCGGUAGGCCUAACACAUGCAAGUCGAACGGCAGCACAGUAAGAGCUUGCUCUUACGGGUGGCGAGUGGCGGACGGGUGAGGAAUACAUCGGAAUCUACUUUUUCGUGGGGGAUAACGUAGGGAAACUUACGCUAAUACCGCAUACGACCUACGGGUGAAAGCAGGGGAUCUUCGGACCUUGCGGGAUUGAAUUAGCCGAUGUGGGAUUAGCUAGUUGGCGGGGUAAAGGCCCACCAAGGCGACGAUCCGUAGCUGGUCUGAGAGGAUGAUCAGCGACACUAGAACUGAGACACGGACCAGAGGACUACGGGAGGCAGCAGAGGGGAAUAUUGGACAAUGGGGGGAAGCCUGAUCCAGUCAGAGCGAGUGGGAGAAGAAGGCCUUGGGGUUGUAAAGACCUUUUGUUGGGAAAGAAAAGCAGCAGGUUAAUACCCCGCUGUUCUGACGGUACCGAAAGAAUAAGCACCGGCUAACUUCGUG